rnacentral:rRNA from 1 species
AACGAAUGCUGGCGGCAUGCCUAACACAUGCAAGUCGAACGAGACCUUCGGGUCUAGUGGCGCACGGGUGCGUAACGCGUGGGAACCUGCACUUAGGUUCGGCAUAACUCCCCGAAAGGGGUGCUAAUACCGGAUAAUGUCUUCGGACCAAAGAUUUAUCGCCUCUGGAUGGGCCCGCGUUGGAUUAGCUAGUUGGUAGGGUAAAAGCCUACCAAGGCGACGAUCCAUAGCUGGUCUGAGAGGAUGAUCAGCCACACUGGGACUGAGACACGGCCCAGACUCCUACGGGAGGCAGCAGUGGGGAAUAUUGGACAAUGGGCGAAAGCCUGAUCCAGCAAUGCCGCGUGAGUGAUGAAGGCCUUAGGGUUGUAAAGCUCUUUUACCCGGGAUGAUAAUGACAGUACCGGGAGAAUAAGCUCCGGCUAACUCCGUG